rnacentral:misc_RNA from 1 species
GAAAUGCGAUAAGUAAUGUGAAUUGCAGAAUUCCGUGAAUCAUCGAAUCUUUGAACGCACAUUGCGCCCUCUGGUAUUCCGGGGGGCAUGCCUGUCCGAGCGUCAUUGCGAACCCCUCAAGCACGGCUUGUGUGAUGGGCCCUCCCGCGUCUUGGUCGUCAAGACGGGCCCGAAAUGCAGUGGCGGCUUCGCGGUUAUCCGAUCAGCCAGAGCGUAUGGGGACUUUCUCUCUGUCACACGCCCGCGGCGCUGACCGACGCCUGUCGACCUUCAUUCAUCGUUUUCUCGGUUGACCUCGGAUCAGGUAGGGAUACCCGCUGAACUUAAGC